GGUUGUGGCUCAGAGGUAAAGCACUUGCCUAGCAUUCAUGAGGGACUGGGUUCAAUACUCAGCACCA
rnacentral:tRNA from 1 species